rnacentral:tRNA from 2 species
GCGGUCGUGGUCGAGUGGUUAAGGCGAUGGACUAGAAAUCUAUUAGUUUUUCAUGAGAGAAAUAGAAUAAAAAAUCCCUCCCGCCCUCCCGUCCGGAGGGCGGGAGGGAUGCUUGGGCGGCAUUUUGAUUUGAUUUGAUUUGAUUGGGGUCUCCCCGCACAUGUUCGAAUCCUGUCGACUGUG